UACAGAGGUCCCAAGCGUUGUUCGGAUUCAUUGGGCGUAAAGGGCGCGUAGGCUGCGGGGCAAGUCGGGUGUGAAAUCUCAGAGCUCAACUCUGAAACUGCACUCGAUACUGCUUUGCUUGAGGACUGGAGAGGAGAUUGGAAUUCACGGUGUAGCAGUGAAAUGCGUAGAUAUCGUGAGGAAGACCAGUGGCGAAGGCGGAUCUCUGGACAGUUCCUGACGCUGAGGCGCGAAGGCCAGGGGAGCAAACGGGG
rnacentral:rRNA from 1 species